AGCGAACGCUGGCGGCAGGCCUAACACAUGCAAGUCGAACGAACCUUUCGGGGUUAGUGGCGGACGGGUGAGUAACACGUGGGAACGUGCCUUUAGGUUCGGAAUAACUCAGGGAAACUUGUGCUAAUACCGAAUGUGCCCUUCGGGGGAAAGAUUAAUCGCCUUUAGAGCGGCCCGCGUCUGAUUAGCUAGUUGGUUGAGGUAAUGGCUCACCAAGGCGACGAUCAGUAGCUGUUCUGAGAGGAUGAUCAGCCACAUUGGGACUGAGACACGGCCCAAACUCCUACGGGAGGCAGCAGAGGGGAAUCUUGCGCAAUGGGCGAAAGCCUGACGAAGCCAUGCCGCGUAAAUGAUGAAGGUCUUAGGAUUGUGAAAUUCUUUCACCGGGGACGAUAAUGACGGUACCCGGAGAAGAAGCCCCGGCUAACUUCGUG
rnacentral:rRNA from 1 species